rnacentral:rRNA from 1 species
CGAAGGGUCCAAGCGUUAUCCGGAUUUAUGGGUUUAAAGGGUGCGUAGGCGGGUUGUUAAGUCAGUGGUGAAAGCUUGCAGCUUAACUGUAAAAUUGCCAUUGAUACUGACGAUCUUGAGUACACUUGAAGUGGGCGGAAUAUGUCAUGUAGAGGUGAAAUUCUUAGAGAUGACAUAGAACACCGAUUGCGAAGGCAGCUCACUAAAUUGUAACUGACGCUGAGGCACGAAAGCGUGGGGAUCAAACAGGAUUAGAUACCCUGGUAGUCCACGCCCUAAACGAUGAUUACUAGAUGUGUGCAAUAUACCGUACGCGUCACAGCUAAAGCGUUAAGUAAUCCACCUGGGGAGUACGGCCGCAAGGCUG